AUUGAGCGCUGGCGGCAUGCUUUACACACGCAAGUCGAACGGUAACAGGUUAAGCUGACGAGUGGCGAAAGGGUGAGUAAUGCAUCGGAACGUGCCCGGUCGUGGGGGAUAACACUUCGAAAGAAGUGCUAAUACCGCAUACGAUCUGAGGAUGAAAGCGGGGGACCGUAAGUCCUCGCGCGAUCGGAGCGGCCGAUGUCAGAUUAGGUAGUUGGUGGGGUAAAGGCUCACCAAGCCGACGAUCUGUAGCUGGUCUGAGAGGACGACCGGCCACACUGGGACGGGGGCACGGCCCAGACUCCUACGGGAGGCAGCAGUGGGGAAUGUUGGACAAUGGGCGAAAGCCUGAUCCAGCAAUGCCGCGUGCAGGAAGAAGGCCUUUGGGUUGUAAACUGCUCUUGUACGGAGCGAAAAGGCUCUCUCUAAUACAGGGGGUUCAUGACGGUACCGUAAGAAUAAGCACCGGCUAACUACGUGCCAGCCGCCGCGGUAAUAC
rnacentral:rRNA from 1 species